UAAAGGCCCCUGGCAAGAGCUCGUUCACGAUGUUUGUGGAUCUAGGGAUCUACCAGCCUGGAGGCAGUGGGGACAGCAUCCCCAUCACAGGUGAGGACAGGAGGACAGACCUGCUGUGAGGCCGGGGUCCAGGGGCAGACUGGAGGGGAGCACAGUGGUCUUGAGAUGCAGCCUCGCAAAGCAUAGCCACAGGACCUCUCCCUUGGGCCCUAGCACCUGCCUGGGCCCAGAGGCAAGGAAGGGUCUCUGCAACCCCUCCACAGGACAGGAAAUGCUCAGAGUUGCCAGGGGACCUGGGCAAAGACUCAAAGCUAACAAGUGACAGAAAUGGGACUUGAGUCAGGCCUUUUGACUCCAAGUCCAGCACUCUAUCCCCCUCUCCCAUGCACCUCCUCUCCUCCUGUCUUUCUCCUCCUUUCUGCGUAUUAUGAGGUGCCAAGACCUGCUAUAGGGGAUGGAGGUAAAAAGAGAUGGGGUAAGAAGCUGCAGCCCCUCCUCCCACUUUCUCCUCCUUCUGGCAGCCCUAGUGGGUGGAGAGGGCACUCGGCUCGACCAGCUGCAGUACGACGUAAGGAAGGGCUCUGUGGUCAACGUGAAUCCCACCAACACCCGGGCCCACAGUGAGACCCCUGAGAUCCGGAAGUACAAGAAGCGAUUCAACUCCGAGAUCCUCUGUGCAGCCCUUUGGGGGGUCAACCUGCUGGUGGGCACGGAGAACGGGCUGAUGUUGCUGGACCGAAGUGGGCAGGGGAAGGUGUAUGGACUCAUUGGGCGGCGACGCUUCCAGCAGAUGGAUGUGCUGGAGGGGCUCAACCUGCUCAUCACCAUCUCAGGUACAGGUGUGGUGAGUGGGGGAGGGAGGAGGGGCUCAGCUCCUUGUCGCUGUCACCGUCUUCUGCCUGGGAGGAGGGCAGCCUUGGUCCAGGCACUGGAAGGUGGGGCCACACUUUCUCACCCGUUGUGGUAUGCUGACAGAGGAGGCCAGGGUGGUGGCAUUCGGGCCUCAGAUGAGAAUGGGGGGUGUGUAUGUCUGGCCAUCCCUCAGGGAAAAGGAACAAGCUGCGGGUGUAUUACCUGUCCUGGCUCCGGAACAAGAUUCUGCACAAUGACCCAGAAGUGGAGAAGAAGCAGGGCUGGACCACUGUGGGGGACAUGGAGGGCUGCGGGCACUACCGUGUCGGUGAGGAUGUCACAACAGAGUGACCAGCGCAUACUUGUUCAUGAAGAGAGAGAAAUGGAUGUGGGUCUAAUGGCUGAGAAAGCUUAGGAGCCAGGGACUUGGGGCCUGGGUGGGGCAGUAUAGUGACAGAGCACGGGGAGGCGCCCGUGGCGCAAGAAGGGAAGUCUCAGUAUCCCUCUUCUCUCCCGCCCCCAGUGAAAUACGAGCGGAUUAAGUUCCUGGUCAUCGCCCUCAAGAGCUCCGUGGAGGUGUAUGCCUGGGCCCCCAAGCCCUAUCACAAAUUCAUGGCCUUCAAGUCCUUUGCCGACCUCCCCCACCGCCCUCUGCUGGUCGACCUGACAGUAGAGGAGGGGCAGCGGCUCAAGGUCAUCUAUGGCUCCAGUGCUGGCUUCCAUGCUGUGGAUGUCGACUCGGGGAACAGCUAUGACAUCUACAUCCCUGUGCACAUCCAGAGCCAGAUCACGCCCCAUGCCAUCAUCUUCCUCCCCAACACCGACGGCAUGGAGAUGCUGCUGUGUUAUGAGGACGAGGGUGUCUACGUCAACACGUACGGGCGGAUCAUUAAGGAUGUGGUGCUGCAGUGGGGAGAGAUGCCUACUUCUGUGGCCUACAUCUGCUCCAACCAGAUAAUGGGCUGGGGUGAGAAGGCCAUUGAGAUCCGCUCUGUGGAGACAGGCCACCUCGACGGGGUCUUCAUGCACAAACGAGCUCAGAGGCUCAAGUUCCUGUGUGAGCGGAAUGACAAGGUGGGAGGCUCCUUCCCUCUGAAAGCCCUGCCGUCCCGGCUGACAGGACCCUAGGCCCCUGGGCAGAGUUCUGGGGAGAGGAUGGGGGUGGCAGCUUCCUGAAAGCAGGCCCCUCUGGUAGCUCGGAGGGCAGUCAGCCACUAUCACUGCCCUGCGCUGCCUUCAGCUUCCAAGGACUUUCCAGCUGGCGCCCAGGGGGCUGGUGGUACACCCUCUCCCCUAACAUCCCAGCCUUUCCUCCGGGUGAGGGGCACUGUGAGUCUCUCUCUCCCCCUCACCUCUUCUGCCACCCCUUCUUCCCUUCUCCCAGUUGAGAUUCCCCGCCCCCCCCCAACCCCAGCCCUUGAUGACUUCUUCUCCUGCCCCACCCAGGUGUUUUUUGCCUCAGUCCGCUCUGGGGGCAGCAGCCAAGUUUACUUCAUGACUCUGAACCGUAACUGCAUCAUGAACUGGUGACGGGGCCCUGGGCUGGGGCUGUCCCACACUGGACCCAGCUCUCCCCCUGCAGCCAGGCUUCCCGGGCCGCCCCUCUUUCCCCUCCCUGGGCUUUUGCUUUUACUGGUUUGAUUCACUGGAGCCUGCUGGGAACGUGACCUCUGACCCCUGAUGCUUUCGUGAUCACGUGACCAUUCUCUUCCCCAACAUGUCCUCUUCCCAAAACUGUGCCUGUCCCCAGCUUCUGGGGAGGGACACAGCUUCCCCUUCCCAGGAAUUGAGUGGGCCUAGCCCCUCCCCCUUUUUCUCCAUUUAAGAGGAGAGUGCUUGGGGCUUGAACCCCUUCCCCCACUGCUGCUGACUGGGCAGGGCCCUGGACCCCUUUAUUUGCACGUCAGGGGAGCCGGCUCCCCCCUUGAAUGUACCAGACCCUGGGGGGGGUCACUGGGCCCUAGAUUUUUGGGGGGUCACCAGCCACUCCAGGGGCAGGGACCAUUUCUUCAUUUUCUGAAAGCACUUUAAUGAUUCCCCUUCCCCCAAACUCCAGGGAAUGGAGGGGGGACCCUGCCAGCCAAAACAUUCCCCCCAUUCUCAACCCCCAUCUCCUCUUCUUCUAGCCCAUGCCCUUCCCUGGUGGAGGGAGGGGGGGAGGGAGCAGGGAGCCCUCACUCUCCACACCCCCGUGCUUGCAUCUGUAUAUAGUGUGAGCAGCAAGUAAUCUUCCUCCUCCCUCCCCCCACCCCUCCUCAAUGUAGUGGCCUUGGAUAUCCUGUUUGUUAAUAAAGACAAUUCAACCAGCUCCCACC
rnacentral:sRNA from 1 species